rnacentral:ncRNA from 2 species
ACCCGAACUGGAGCGCCAGGCCUGGAUCGCCGCAAGGCGGUGCAGGCGACGAGGUAGAGGGAUCAUCGAAAGACUCGGCGGAUGCCCUCUCGGCCGCUUACGGUCGUGACGAUGCGGAUGAAAACCCGGGAGUGACCCCGGAACAGAGGCCGCAGCGAAGUGAGGC